CAGUAGCCGCGGUAAUACGUAGGUGGCAAGCGUUGUCCGGAAUUAUUGGGCGUAAAGGGCUCGCAGGCGGCUUCUUAAGUCUGAUGUGAAAGCCCCCGGCUCAACCGGGGAGGGUCAUUGGAAACUGGGAAACUUGAGUGCAGAAGAGGAGAGUGGAAUUCCACGUGUAGCGGUGAAAUGCGUAGAGAUGUGGAGGAACACCAGUGGCGAAGGCGACUCUCUGGUCUGUAACUGACGCUGAGGAGCGAAAGCGUGGGGAGCGAACAGGAUUAGAUACCCGUGUAGUCCCUGUCUCUUAUAC
rnacentral:rRNA from 1 species